GCACAUACAGACACACACACACACAUAUAAAGACAAAUACAUACAGGACUGUAUGUAUGUGUGUGUGUCUGUCUGUAUGUAUGUGUGUGUCUGUAUGAUACAGAC